CUUGGUACCGAGUAUCAUGUAUCACGCAUGCGCUUCUUGUUUUGACAAAGUUAGAAGUUAGAUUCCAGACCCCGUAGCAUUGUAACUAGUUGUAUAAGUUAAUCCAAAUGUUACAACUUUAUACAUUUUUUCUUUUAAAUCUGCUCACCUUUAAUUUGGGUUACAAUAAUUUACCUCUCCUCCAGUGAGACAAUGGUCAUAUCCACCACAUCUGUUGGUGUGAACAAGGUGAAUAUCUUAUUGCCACUACCAAGUUCAAGGUAUGUGCUGCACAUCUUUUGCCCUUGUUUGCCCUGUUGUCAUAUGACUGUCUCCUUGCAAUCCUCAAAAGGUAUGGUCAUGUCUUCAAGCCUCUGUAAGAUAAGACUAAAAAGCUCUUCCCCUGUGGAGGCUUUAGCUUCAAAAAAGCCCAUGGAGUGCUCCUCACCUUGUGGCUUGUCCAUUAACUGACACAGUGCUAAUGAAAACUGAAAGUUGCUCUGUGUGACCUAUGUCAGGGGGUGCAAUCCAAUAUAGUGGAAAAGUAUUUGCCUAGUUUGAUGUCACUUACAACUGCACCCAUGAUCUUUCCUCUGACAGUACUUAACAAUUCAUUUUGUAUGGUUUUACCCCAGGUAUGUUGUCAUGUUCCCUGCUCCACUUUGUAUCCUAUCUAUAUGUUGCUUUAAGACAAUAAUUGUCUUAUAUAUAUUCCUUCUUUCAGAAAGUUGACAUUAUUUGGGUGGAAAAGUGAGUCUGUGGAUCCUCGAUCAGAGCCACGUUUUAGUCAGAGUUGAGAUAGACAAGUGUGAGAUGCAGUAAUUGAAGAGGCUAGAUCACUUUGGUCACUGAUAGCAACUGAAACGACCUUGGCGGUUGCAGAAUUUGAAUCUGUGAACUUCUAAACUGCCAUGCCUAUGCCAUUGGCCGGCCCUGAGCCCAAGUCCCAAAAGCUCCCUCCUGUCUGCACGCCAUAUGGUUUAGUCUAUCAAGAUGUGCGCUCCUGUACUGUAUGUGUUUGGUCAGGGCAUGUGCAUCAGACCUGGAUCUUCUUCACCAACCCAUUACACAGUCCAUGUGUUUCCUGGUAUGAUGAGCAUUUUUACAGACACUCUGUGUGCUCUCUUUUUGUACUGUCUGUGUUGCAGUUUUGUAUGAUAACAGUGAUUAUAUUUUACUCUCUAAUUUCUAUGUUAUGGUGUUUAAUGCUGCCUCAUCUCAUCCCAUUUUAUCUAAUCUUAUUUCAUCUUAUCUCAUCUUACCUUAUCUUUUCUUAUCUAAUCUUACUUCACUUACAUAUGUUAAUGAGAUUUAAACAUUUAUGAUGCUGUUUGUGUCCUGUACAGCCUUUUUAGGUAUUGUUGGCUAUAUCAUGGUCAGUACAGGUGCAGUGUUUUUAGCUGUUGCUGUGAUUCUCACCGUUUGUACAAUAAAACGAGGCUCUGAAACAGUCACACAAUCUCCCAGAGAGGCAAAUAGAAACGGUGAAAAUGACCAACAUUUGCUUCCUCUUCAAUCAAGAGAAAAAGACGAUUUACCCGAAUCUGUAUAUCAGAGUCUAGACCCAGCCACAAACCAAUCAGAUUCAAUCUACCAGAGUCUGACCUCAACUAAUAACCAAUCAGAUUCAGUCUACCAGAGUCUGACCUCAACUAAUAACCAAUCAGAUUCAGUCUACCAGAGUCUGACCUUGAGUAAAAUUGCAAUACAAAAUGUAUAUGAAUGAAUAAAGUGCUUGUUUUUUCCUCCUCACAUAGUAGUUUUUUAGGCAAUAAUUUU